rfam:Anopheles atroparvus strain EBRO unplaced genomic scaffold supercont1.12, whole genome shotgun sequence.
UGGGCGUUAGUUUUGGGCGGGUUUUAGUGUAUUUCGAUGAGAGUUCUAUUGAAACCGUCCAAAACUGAGGCCAAC